GUGGGAGCAAGGCUUGCCCGCGAUGCAGGCAACGCGGUCUGUCUUGGGAACCGUGGUGUCUGCAUCGCGGGCAAGCCUUGCUCCCAC
rnacentral:misc_RNA from 1 species